CAAUAGCGUAUAUUAAAGUUGUUGCGGUUAAAAAGCUCGUAGUUGGAGUUCUGCCAGGUGCCGCCUGUCCGCCCCAGUGGUGAGUACGUGGCGCGCAUUUGGCCCUUUCAAGGGGAGCGUAUCUGCACUUUAUUGUGUGGUGCGGGAUCCUUGACUUUUACUUUGAGGAAAUAGGAGUGUUCCAAGCAGGUUCUCGUCGUGCACAGCUCAGCAUGGAAUAAUAGCAUUGGACCUCGAUUCUAAGCUGUUGGUUGCCAGAAGCGAGGUAAUGAUGAAGAGGGAUAGUUGGGGGCAUUCGUAUUUCAUUGUCAGAGGUGAAAUUCUUGGAUUUAUGAAAGACGAACUACUGCGAAAGCAUUUGCCAAGGAUGUUUUCAUUAA
rnacentral:rRNA from 1 species